CAAAAUUUAACAUACAUCUAAUGUAUCUCACUUACAUUGAGAAAAUGGUUAUAUUAACCAGUUUUGA
rnacentral:tRNA from 1 species